UAGGGUGCUUCUGAUUUGCAAACCACUG
rnacentral:piRNA from 2 species